GACGAACGCUGGCGGCGUGCUUAACACAUGCAAGUCGAACGGAAAGGCCCCUUUGGGGGUACUCGAGUGGCGAACGGGUGAGUAACACGUGAGUAACCUGCCCUUGACUUCGGGAUAACUUCAGGAAACUGGGGCUAAUACCGGAUAGGAAUCCUUGCUGCAUGGUGGGGGUUGGAAAGCUUCGGCGGUUUUGGAUGGACUCGCGGCUUAUCAGCUUGUUGGUGGGGUAGUGGCUUACCAAGGCUUUGACGGGUAGCCGGCCUGAGAGGGCGACCGGCCACAUUGGGACUGAGAUACGACCCAGACUCCUACGGGAGGCAGCAGUGGGGAAUAUUGCACAAUGGGCGGAAGCCUGAUGCAGCAACGCCGCGUGCGGGAGGACGGCCUUCGGGUUGUAAACCGCUUUCAGCAGGGGCGAAGCUUGUGGUGACGGUACCUGCAGAAGAAGCACCGGCUAACUACGUG
rnacentral:rRNA from 1 species